GAAGUUUAGAGCACAGAGGGGUUUUUCUGGAAGGAUGAGACCGCACGGAGAAGGUUGCAUUUAAGCUGGGCCUUGGAGGCCAAGAAUGAUUUGCAGAUUCAUAUGCUGGGAUGAGUGACCAUUCGCUUUUCUAUAGUCCCUGGAAUCAAUACAGUCAGGAGGUGCAAGCCUUGGACAGCGUCCAGGAUGCCGAAAGGGCUGGGCUCCGGGCACCGGCGGCAGUGGAGGAUUCUCCCGGCAGCGGGACCCCGUCCUCUCGACCUGGAGCUCCAGCGGCGAACACCCGGGACAACUUCCAGAGAGGCCCUAAUCUUUCUAUAAACAAUGGGUCUCGGUUCCUUUGUUUGGUUCCUCUGGGAAAGAUGCCAAGGUAGAAGUGCAAGAGACUUCUUGGGAGAAACUCUUGUGAAGGAUUAGGGGGUGAGGGAAGGGGGAUCAAGAGGAGACACGGAGAGCCUUCAGACUGGGAUGCUGAUCUGCCUAUUGAGAAAGGAGCGAGGGAAGGAAGAAGGUGGGGCAGAAAGAGCCUCAGACCGGAGUGCAGCUCUGAGGAAGCCUCAACCAGGCUUUUGGAGUCUGAGCGCCCCUCUGUUAAAGAAGUUCCACGCUGGCAGGCUGACUCAGCUCUAGCACACACCCCCCACCUCCACCCCACCCCAUGCUCUGCCUUUGCUGACAGCAGCCUGGGGAAGAUUGUGGCCUCAAUGUGAACCUUCUCAUGGAUUCCAGAUAGUAUAUUCUAGAACUUGAAGGGAGAUUUGAGCAGUGCACUACCAAGAUGGUCAUAGUUAUCCCACUAGGCAUAUGCUCUUGGGAGCCUGAAAUGUUAAUAGUACUGGGCCUAGUAUGGGCACUCAGUAAGCCCUGGAAUGAACUCAAGAAUGAAUGCCCUGUUAUAUCCUGCAAGCGUGAACAAGGGCAUGUUCUGUAAAAACCAGCUUGUGGAAGUGGGACCUCAUGUGUGUAUAUGUGUGUGUGGGGGUGUGUGUGUGUGUAUGCUCAGUUGUGUCCAACUCUUUGCUACCCCAUGGACUGUAGCCCACUAGGCUCUUCCGUCCAUGGAAUCUUCCAGGCAGGAAUACUGGAAUGGGUUGCCAUUUCCUUAUCCAGGGAAUCUUCCUGACCUUCAUGCUGCUGCUGCUGCUAAGUUGCUUCAGUUGUGUCCGACUCUGUGCAACCCCAUAGACGGCAGCCCACCAGGCUCCCCCGUCCCUGGAAUUCUCCAGGCAAGAACACUGGAGUGCCAUUUCCUUCUCCAAUGCAUGAAAGUGAAAAGUGAAAGUGAAGUUGCUCAGUUGUGUCCAACUCUUAGCGACCCCAUGGACUGCAGCCUACCAGACUCCUCCACCCAUGGAAUUCUCCAGGCAAGAGUACUGGAAACCCAUUGCCUUCUCUGCCUGACCUUCAUACCUAUGUCUAAAGUCCUACUAUGGUUAGAUUGAGCCUGUUUUUUGGUUUAUGGGCAACUGUUUCAUUUUCCCUUGAACCCCUGGCACCAGCUGAUAAGGACUGUCUUCAUGGAUUGAGGCUGACUCUCUGGAGAACAGACCUUGCAUUUCCCAAAAAAGAGCAGUUUUGUACAUUUUCCUCCGUGGCAUUGGAGAUCAGACAAAUCAGGGUUUAAAUUUCAAUUCAGCUACUGACUAGCCAUGAGCCCUUGGGCAAAACUAACCUCUCGGAUUCCCCAUUCUAACAAUUUAUUGGGACUUGCUGUAUGUCAGAUACAGUUCAUUCUAGGAGUGUUAUGCACUGUUGUGGCCUGAAUGUUUGUGGCCCAC
ensembl:lncRNA